rnacentral:tRNA from 1 species
GUGAAGGUAGCUUAGUGGUAGAGUGCAUGCCUAGCAUGCAUGAAGCCCUGGGUUCGAUUCCUCAGCACCACA